AUUUAGAUUUUCUAGGGUUCCGUAAUAUAUAAAUUAGUCUGGUCCGAGAGAAAACACGGUAAUUAUACCGGACACGGAAGGAGAAAAGCCUAGGAGGA
rnacentral:sRNA from 2 species